CAUUAGUUCUGUCUGUAUUUAAGUCCUGGUUUUCAGUUCAGUCUUUUUGGAUCCUUGGUUUAGCUUUGUUCUGUUCAGUUUCGUCUCGCAUGUCUGUGUCCUGUUCCUGACUUGUUUUAUAAAUAUAUUCUUCAGUUCCUGUGCCUGACGUCUCCUGCGUUUGGGUCCACCUGCUCUGCUACUCCUAACAGGAACACUUUUCAGUAUAAUGCACCCCAGUACAUGCACCACCCACUAUGACCUCAAUAAUUAACAUAAAGUAGAAUUAUUACCUUUCUGACAAUGUCAACAACAUGUCAUAACUGAAAAUGUAUAAGGUCUGCAAAGCAAACCACUUAAAAUGAUGACAUUCACAGAGUCUAGAGGGAAAUGCUUCCUGAUUCCGAAGUGCAAAAACAUUCACCUGUGAAAGGGACAAGACAGCUUACUUUUUGCAGUUUGGACUCGCUCCUUACAUAAAGAAGGAGCUCAUCUCAAGAGUGAACAGAGAUUUGUUUAUCAUUGUGUUUGACGAGAGCAUGAACAGGACAACUAAGAAUAAACAACUAGACCUGCAUGUAAGACUCUGGACAAACGAUGAGACUGGCACCCACAUUUCUUUGGAUCACAAUUCACGGUCCAUUUGACAGCAGAUAACUUGUUGGAACAUUUCAAGAUGUGUACAAAGUACAUGGACCUGGUCAAAACAAAGAAGCUUCCCAACCCAGCGUCAUUGUCAUAUCGACCACCACUGAGGCCUGAAUGGAUCCCCUUCUUCUGGCCAAGUUCCAUCUCUUCAUGGCCAUUUCUAGUCCUCCAACCUUUUCUGACAAAAUACCAGAUGGAUGUUCCAGUGAUGUCCUUCCUCUGGAGAGGUCUGGAGGAUUUGAUGAGGAGUCUUCUAAGACACAAGGGGGAUGCCCUGGUUGUUACUCCAUACAAACUUGUAUGGCUUGACGUCACAGACCAGAAGCUCUGGGUCCAAAGGAGGUUGACAUCAGUAUUGGUGCAGCAGCUGCCGUCAAGGUGAUGUGAUUUCACAGCAGUUUGAGACCUUGUUCAACGAGGCCAAAGCUGUAAACAUCAUGUUCUUCAGUCUGCAAGACCAAGGCUCCAGAGUUGACGUGUUUUUACAUCAACACUUCUUACCCGGAGCUCUGGGGUUUUUGAAAGAAGUUGGUGCUCUUACAAGCAGAGGUUGAACGGAGGUUCUCAGACAAAAAAGAGGUGGAAGCAUGCAGUGUAGCAGAGGACACUAUUAUUGCACAGAGACUUGUCUGUGAACAUGUCAGAGUGUAUGGCGUGGUGACCAAAGUGCCUCUUACAGAGAUGCUGAAUGACUGUGCAACUGCACGCACCAGGUACACAGCUUAGCAAAAAGGAAAGAGAUGAGCAAAAGCUGAAAAGACAGAAUGCUGAAGAAAACCUUGAAGAGCUAAAGAAGAGGAGAAAAUCUAUACAAGAUGUAUACAAGAGUCUCCAAAAGGAUGCAGACAACUUUGCAGAAAAAGCAGAGAAUACUGCAGGGACCAGAAUGGCAACACACUGAGGAGACGAGCAAACGAAAAGAGAGAGCUGUUACUAGUCCUAAAUAGUGAAAUUGAUAAGAGGCUGCUGAGCUACAACACAUGUCAUGGGAGACAUGGUGUCCAUGGACAAAGAGGGUAAAACAACUGUAUUGACUGUUUCUGCCAGAAGUUCUAAAAAAGGAAAUACACAAAGUUUGGUGCUUAUUGAAUGAGAAAUGAAAAAUUGAAGAAGAUAAAAAUGAUUCAUCUCCAGAAAAUAACCAAGCAGACUUUAGGGGUACUUUGCACUUUUGUAGAACAAGUUGAGAUUGUGUCAUGUUGUGUUAUUAUGUUAUUUCCAUUGGACUGGGUUUACCACCACAGUUUUAUUUUUGUUAAUGAGAAAGCAGUUAUGUUAGCUAAUGUGCACUGAAUAUUUCUGUUAUUCAAAUUCAAUAACUCUCAAUACUGGUGUAUAGUGUAGUCUGUCAAAUUCUUUUGCUGCAGUAAUGGUAUUAUUUUUUUACUUUUAUAGGUAUUGAAAAGGUCUUAAAAGUCAUUAAAUUUGUUCUUAAAAAUGUGCAGAUACCCUGAUUUUGUAAUGUUGUUGUUUGGCAUAUACUGUAUGUAAUGAUGCUUUCAAACUGCUACUUACAUUAUUUAUACACAUAUUUGAGUAUCAUUAUUGUUUGUGUGUUAUCAUUGAGUGUCAUGGGCUGAAUUGGUAAUGCACAUACAGUUUUUCAGCCCCAGGUUGUUGUUGUUUUGUUUUUAGGUUCUCAAGUAGAGGGUAAUAUGGUAUAUUGCUUGAUGGGAUGUGUAAACAAGUUUGUUUUGUCUGUUGUCACAGCCUAUUCACAUAUUUCUUUUCCCUGUAAUAUUAGUUUAAUGGAACUCAUCCUGGCUUCUGUCACACAAAGGAUAAACUCAUUCACAUUUCUCUUCACACACUUAAUGUUUCGCUUAUUAUUACAGAGAGACAUUUAAACUUGAAACAGUGGGGUUAUUUGAGGACUUUUUUCACUGCUCAUCAUGAAGAUAUAAACUGCAAUUGUAUAUGUACUGAUGGUCAUCUGCUGCUCAGGAUAUAUGAAGAGAUUGUCGGCUCCUCACCUUGAAUGUUUGUGAUUUGAAUAAACCUAAGUUAAUAAUUAUA